rnacentral:tRNA from 1 species
AAGGAUUUAAGUUAAAAACCAAACUAACAGCCUUCAAAGCUGGAAAUAGAGGGCUCUCUAAGCCUUG